GGGGCAUUCUGUUUCGGAGUGCAAUUUCCAUGUGGCCCAUGUAGCGUGCAGUGCCCUCCUCUCCUGAGCUGUGAGUAUAUGUAACUAAUAAACUGCUGUCUGUCUCAUCUGUCCAGUGUUGGGUGUUGUGUGUUCAGCCAUGCCUAUAACCACAGGGUGGGAAUCCCUCCUUUACCAAUAGAGUAAAUAGGAGGUGAUUAAAACACAGAUAGGUACCAACAUGACGAUAAUCUAAUUAGGAAACAGAGGCAAGGAAAUUCCACAUGGCUCAAACUUGUAUGUGUGGUAGCUUAGUGGUUUUGUUCAUUGUAGGAGUCCAGAUGGUAGUUGGGGGUGAGAAGUCCUAAGAACCAGAGGGCUAGGCAAGGAUACCAAGGUUCUCCAUAGGCAAAGCCUCUUCUCUCGAAAGUGCUCAAGGCCUACUUCCUUAGUCCAAUCAAAUCUCUGCUUAAAUAUCAUCUCAUCAGAGAUACUUCCUUUAUAACCUAACUUGAAGCAGCACCUCCUUCCCUAUUAUUUUCUAUUCCCUUAUUCUGAUGGAUUUUUAUUUUUAGCAUUUCUCUAAUAUUCAGUAUAUGUUUGUCUCUUGACAUUAGAGUAAUCUCCAUGAGGGGAAGACUUGUUCAUCCCUGUAGCACUACUGCCUAAAGCAGUACCUGACAAAAUGGUAGGUGCAUAAUAAAUAUCCCUUGAAUGCAUGAUGUUAUAAGUCUAGUCCUAUGGGCCUGGCCAGCUCUUUGUGUGUGUUGUGUGUGAAGGGAAAGAGAGAAAGGGAGAAAGUAAGGAGUGAAGUAUAAGGAUUGUCACUUGGGGUGUGUAUGUGUGUGGCGGGGGGCAGAGGGAGGUGGUGGGUGGAAAUCCAAGACUACAGCUGAAACAGUAGAUGCCAAACCUAGCCUGAGGAAUUUAUUUCAGGAUUCAAUAGUGGAAAAGGAAAAAAAAAAAUAGGGAAGACCAAAGUGUCCUGAUUGACUCCGGAUCUGACGAUGCCCACAUUUACACAUGGAGGGAAUCCAUAAUCCCUGCUGUGGUGGGGAAUAGAAAGGAGAGUUGUGGAAUAACGUUCAAUAACAAAUUACUAAGAAAAAUUAUUAUGAGGUUAUAGAAUAAAGGAGUCUCUAUGCAUAAGAAAAGAAUGGAAGAAGGGCAAGCAAACUUGUCUCUGAGCAUGCCAAUGAGAAGAAUUUUUUGGGCUAGCUGACAAAAAACGUAGAGAAAAAAACAUUUUAGCUAUUAAAAAGUUUAUGAGGUGUGGUAAAUUAGAAAAGGGGAAAAAACCCUAACAUGUGAUGUUGUUAUAAAAAUGGAUUUGGAUAAAGAGAAGUCUGCAAAUCAGUCAACAAAUUUACCAUAGGGGCAGAAGGGAAAAUCACAGUAUGAAAAA
rnacentral:lncRNA from 1 species